rnacentral:tRNA from 1 species
GCAUGUAGCUCAGUGAUAGAGCACUUGCCUAGCAUGCAUGAGGUCUUGGGUUCAAUUCCUAGUUCCAUACA